rnacentral:lncRNA from 1 species
CUUAGACUGCAAAACAAAUGUUAGAUGACAUAUUUUUGGUGCUUUUGGUUAGUGAUUAAAACAAGAAAAGCAAUGAUACAUAGUGCAAGCAAGCCCGGUGAUCUUAAACCACUCGCAGGAGAUCCCAACCCAAAGGGAAAAGAAGCCAAGAUGCUCAAAGAUCUUUGAGGCUAUGCUAUGCAAUGAUAUGAUGCCAUGAGGGAUCUUAGGGACAAAAUUGGGGUCUUACAAUAAGCAACUUUUCGUCAUCGG